UACGAAGGGGGCUAGCGUUGCUCGGAAUCACUGGGCGUAAAGCGCACGUAGGCGGCUUUUUAAGUCAGGGGUGAAAUCCUGGAGCUCAACUCCAGAACUGCCUUUGAUACUGAGAAGCUUGAGUCCGGGAGAGGUGAGUGGAACUGCGAGUGUAGAGGUGAAAUUCGUAGAUAUUCGCAAGAACACCAGUGGCGAAGGCGGCUCACUGGCCCGGUACUGACGCUGAGGUGCGAAAGCGUGGGGGAGCAAACAGG
rnacentral:rRNA from 1 species